rnacentral:rRNA from 1 species
GUGGGGAAUUUUGGACAAUGGGCGCAAGCCUGAUCCAGCCAUGCCGCGUGCGGGAAGAAGGCCUUCGGGUUGUAAACCGCUUUCAGCCGGAAAGAAAUCGCCAUUCCUAAUACGAGUGGUGGAUGACGGUACCGGAAGAAGAAGCACCGGCUAACUACGUGCCAGCAGCCGCGGUAAUACGUAGGGUGCGAGCGUUAAUCGGAAUUACUGGGCGUAAAGCGUGCGCAGGCGGUUUCUCAAGCCAGAUGUGAAAUCCCCGGGCUUAACCUGGGAACUGCAUUUGGAACUGGGAGACUAGAGUGUGUCAGAGGGGGGUGGAAUUCCACGUGUAGCAGUGAAAUGCGUAGAGAUGUGGAGGAACACCGAUGGCGAAGGCAGCCCCCUGGGAUAACACUGACGCUCAUGCACGAAAGCGUGGGGAGCAAACAGGAUUAGAAACCCGGGUAGUCC